rnacentral:rRNA from 1 species
UACGUAGGGUGCAAGCGUUAAUCGGAAUUACUGGGCGUAAAGCGUGCGCAGGCGGUUUUGUAAGUCUGUCGUGAAAGCCCCGGGCUUAACCUGGGAAUUGCGAUGGAGACUGCAAGGCUUGAAUCUGGCAGAGGGGGGUAGAAUUCCACGUGUAGCAGUGAAAUGCGUAGAGAUGUGGAGGAACACCGAUGGCGAAGGCAGCCCCCUGGGUUAAGAUUGACGCUCAUGCACGAAAGCGUGGGGAGCAAACAGG